UUGUGGAGGAGGACGCCGAAGGUGGGGCUAAUGACUGGGGUGAAGUCGUAACAAGGUAGCCGUACCGGAAGGUGCGGCUGGAUCACCUCCUAACAGGGAGACAACAAAAUGUUUAACAUUAUUAUUUUGUCACCUUAGGUCGAUCGGUAUCUCACGUUUUUAAUUUAUUAAGAAUUUCAUUUCCUAAGUUUUUCUAGGUCACACCCAUUAUUUUUCCUGGGCCAUUAGCUCAGGUGGUUAGAGCGCACCCCUGAUAAGGGUGAGGUCCCUGGUUCAAGUCCAGGAUGGCCCAUAUCUCUAUGUUGGGGGUAUAGCUCAGUUGGUAGAGCGCCUGCUUUGCAAGCAGGAUGUCAGCGGUUCGAGUCCGCUUACCUCCACUGAUUACCACCUCUUCCAUAACCGGUAGAAAGGAAAUUUUUUGAGUUGUGAUCAAAUUCUGAAAGAAUCUAGCUUCCUAAUGAAAUCAUUAAGAUGCUGGACUCAUUGAAUUAAUUUCAUUGUUUUCAGAGAACCUUGACAACUGCAUAGAUUAUUUUUAAAGACAAUAAGCAUCUUUAAUGAUGCAGAUUUAUUAUUUGUGCGAAUGCAUUAAUAACAAUUCUAUUAAGCUGAUGCUUCAAUUUUGAAGUUAUUGGUCAAGCUACAA
rnacentral:misc_RNA from 1 species